GCCACCCUAGCUCAGAUGGUAGAGCAAUGCUUUCGUAAAGCAUGGGUCGGGGGUUCGAUUCCCCCGGGUGGCUCCA
rnacentral:tRNA from 1 species